rnacentral:rRNA from 1 species
UACGGGGGGGGCAAGCGUUGUUCGGAAUUACUGGGCGUAAAGGGCUCGUAGGCGGCCAACUAAGUCAGACGUGAAAUCCCUCGGCUUAACCGGGGAACUGCGUCUGAUACUGGAUGGCUUGAGUUUGGGAGAGGAUGCGGAAUUCCAGGUGUAGCGGUGAAAUGCGUAGAUAUCUGGAGGAACACCGGUGGCGAAGGCGGCAUCUGGAC